rnacentral:rRNA from 1 species
AGCGAACGCUGGCGGCGUGCCUAACACAUGCAAGUCGAGCGAAGGCAUGAGUGUAGCAAUACACUUAUGUACUUAGCGGCGGACGGGUGAGUAACACGUGGAUAAUCUGCCCUGAGGACCGGGACAACUCUUGGAAACGGGAGCUAAUACCGGAUGUGACCACGAUGCUUGAGGGCAUUGGGGUAAAAGGCGGCCUGCAAGGGCUGUUGCUUCGGGAUGAGUCACGACCCAUCAGGUAGUUGGGGGGUAAGAGCCACCAAG